CACUAACUGGAGGACCGAACCGACUAAUGUUGAAAAAUUAGCGGAUGACUUGUGGCUGGGGGUGAAAGGCCAAUCAAACCGGGAGAUAGCUGGUUCUCCCCGAAAGCUAUUUAGGUAGCGCCUCGUGAAUUCAUCUCCGGGGGUAGAGCACUGUUUCGGCAAGGGGGUCAUCCCGACUUACCAACCCGAUGCAAACUGCGAAUACCGGAGAAUGUUAUCACGGGAGACACACGGCGGGUGCUAACGUCCGUCGUGAAGAGGGAAACAACCCAGACCGCCAGCUAAGGUCCCAAAGUCAUGGUUAAGUGGGAAACGAUGUGGGAAGGCCCAGACAGCCAGGAUGUUGGCUUAGAAGCAGCCAUCAUUUAAAGAAAGCGUAAUAGCUCACUGGUCGAGUCGGCCUGCGCGGAAGAUGUAACGGGGCUAAACCAUGCACCGAAGCUGCGGCAGCGACACUAUGUGUUGUUGGGUAGGGGAGCGUUCUGUAAGCCUGUGAAGGUGUACUGUGAGGUAUGCUGGAGGUAUCAGAAGUGCGAAUGCUGACAUAAGUAACGAUAAAGCGGGUGAAAAGCCCGCUCGCCGGAAGACCAAGGGUUCCUGUCCAACGUUAAUCGGGGCAGGGUGAGUCGACCCCUAAGGCGAGGCCGAAAGGCGUAGUCGAUGGGAAACAGGUUAAUAUUCCUGUACUUGGUGUUACUGCGAAGGGGGGACGGAGAAGGCUAUGUUGGCCGGGCGACGGUUGUCCCGGUUUAAGCGUGUAGGCUGGUUUUCCAGGCAAAUCCGGAAAACUAAGGCUGAGGCGUGAUGACGAGGCACUACGGUGCUGAAGCAACAAAUGCCCUGCUUCCAGGAAAAGCCUCUAAGCAUCAGGUAACAUCAAAUCGUACCCCAAACCGACACAGGUGGUCAGGUAGAGAAUACCAAGGCGCUUGAGAGAACUCGGGUGAAGGAACUAGGCAAAAUGGUGCCGUAACUUCGGGAGAAGGCACGCUGAUAUGUAGGUGAAGUCCCUCGCGGAUGGAGCUGAAAUCAGUCGAAGAUACCAGCUGGCUGCAACUGUUUAUUAAAAACACAGCACUGUGCAAACACGAAAGUGGACGUAUACGGUGUGACGCCUGCCCGGUGCCGGAAGGUUAAUUGAUGGGGUCAGCGCAAGCGAAGCUCUUGAUCGAAGCCCCGGUAAACGGCGGCCGUAACUAUAACGGUCCUAAGGUAGCGAAAUUCCUUGUCGGGUAAGUUCCGACCUGCACGAAUGGCGUAAUGAUGGCCAGGCUGUCUCCACCCGAGACUCAGUGAAAUUGAACUCGCUGUGAAGAUGCAGUGUACCCGCGGCAAGACGGAAAGACCCCGUGAACCUUUACUAUAGCUUGACACUGAACAUUGAGCCUUGAUGUGUAGGAUAGGUGGGAGGCUUUGAAGUGUGGACGCCAGUCUGCAUGGAGCCGACCUUGAAAUACCACCCUUUAAUGUUUGAUGUUCUAACGUUGACCCGUAAUCCGGGUUGCGGACAGUGUCUGGUGGGUAGUUUGACUGGGGCGGUCUCCUCCUAAAGAGUAACGGAGGAGCA
rnacentral:rRNA from 1 species